GGGCGCGUACAUGGAUAUAGCUGUCUGGCUCACAUUGGUGAGCUGGGUGGCCAAGCGAAAGUGAUAAGUAUCCCACCUGGGGAGUACGUUCGCAAGAAUGAAACUCAAAGGAAUUGACGGGGGCCCGCACAAGCGGUGGAGCAUGUGGUUUAAUUCGAUGAUACGCGAGGAACCUUACCAGGGCUUAAAUGUAGUCUGACAGGAUUGGAAACAGUCUUUUCUUCGGACAGAUUAUAAGGUGCUGCAUGGUUGUCGUCAGCUCGUGCCGUGAGGUGUCAGGUUAAGUCCUAUAACGAGCGCAACCCCUGUUGUUAGUUGCCAGCGAGUCAAGUCGGGAACUCUAACAAGACUGCCGGUGCAAACCGUGAGGAAGGUGGGGAUGACGUCAAAUCAUCACGGCCCUUACGUCCUGGGCCACACACGUGCUACAAUGGCAGGUACAAUGGGCAGCCACUACGCAAGUAGGAGCGAAUCCCCCAAACCUGUCUCAGUUCGGAUCGGGGUCUGCAACUCGACCCCGUGAAGCUUGGAAUCGCUUGUAAUCGGAUUUCAGCCAUGAUCCGGUGAAAAACCUUUCCCGGGCCUUGUACACACCGCCCCGUCAAGCCCUUGGAAACCGGAAACCACCUGGAAUUCCCUCCCCCCCAAGGAACCGGCCCAAGGGGAAACCUGGGAACUGGGGGCUAAAGCUCUA
rnacentral:rRNA from 1 species